rnacentral:rRNA from 1 species
GUUAUAGUUUAUUUGAUACAUUAAAUGGAUAACUGUAGAAAAACUAGAGCUAAUACAUGCCAAGGCCGCAAGGUCGUAUUUAUUAGAUAACUUAAAUAUGAAUCAUAGUAACUUAGCAAAUCUCAAUUUCAUUGAGAUAUAUCAUCCAAGUUUCUGCCCUAUCAGCUUUCGAUGGUAGUGUAUUGGACUACCAUGGCUCUCACGGGUAACAGGGAAUUAGGGUUCGAUUCUGGAGAAGGAGCCUGAGAAACGGCUACUACAUCUACGGAAGGCAGCAGGCGCGUAAAUUACCCAAUCCUGACUCAGGGAGGUGGUGACAAGAUAUAAUGACGCUAUGAAAAAUAGUGAUUAUAGUGAGGGUAUUCCAAACCGAACCACAAGUACGAUUAGAGGGCAAGUCUGGUGCCAGCAGCCGCGGUAAUUCCAGCUCUAAUAGCGUAUAUUAAAGUUGCUGCAGUUAAAAAGCUCGUAGUUGGAUUUCAAGGAACACGUAUUCCCCCGGAAUAUGUGCCCUACUAGCCCUGGGCUGUUACUGUGAGAAAAUUAGAGUGUUUAAAGCAAGCUUUUGCAAGAAUACAUUAGCAUGGAAUAACGAAUGAGUCUAGAAUCUAGGUUUAAUUCUAGAUCUCGAUUAAUAGAGACAGUUGGGGGCAUUAGUAUUUAAUUGUCAGAGGUGAAAUUCUUGGAUU